AGAGUUUGAUCCUGGCUCAGAGCGAACGCUGGCGGCAGGCUUAACACAUGCAAGUCGACGGACGCAGCAAUGCGUCAGUGGCAGACGGGUGAGUAACACGUGGGAACGUGCCCUUCGGUUCGGAACAACCCAGGGAAACUUGGGCUAAUACCGGAUACGUCCGCAAGGAGAAAGAUUUAUCGCCGAAGGAUCGGCCCGCGUCUGAUUAGCUUGUUGGUGAGGUAACGGCUCACCAAGGCGACGAUCAGUAGCUGGUCUGAGAGGAUGAUCAGCCACACUGGGACUGAGACACGGCCCAGACUCCUACGGGAGGCAGCAGUGGGGAAUAUUGGACAAUGGGCGCAAGCCUGAUCCAGCCAUGCCGCGUGGGUGAUGAAGGCCUUAGGGUUGUAAAGCCCUUUCGGCGGGGAAGAUAAUGACGGUACCCGCAGAAGAAGCCCCGGCUAACUUCGUGCCAGCAGCCGCGGUAAUACGAAGGGGGUUAGCGUUGCUCGGAAUCACUGGGCGUAAAGCGCACGUAGGCGGAUUGCUAAGUCAGGGGUGAAAUCCUGGAGCUCAACUCCAGAACUGCCCUUGAUACUGGCGACCUUGAGUCCGGGAGAGGUGAGUGGAACUGCGAGUGUAGAGGUGAAAUUCGUAGAUAUUCGCAAGAACACCAGUGGCGAAGGCGCCUCCUGGGCCGACACUGACGCUCAUGCACGAAAGCGUGGGGAGCAAACAGGAUUAGAUACCCUAGUAGUCC
rnacentral:rRNA from 1 species